CAGCACAAACUGUUAUGUGUGGGCAGGUGGGAUGUGUCUGAUCCCUUUGUUUCCACAGGAGAAGAACAGAGCAAUGAUCCUGGCAGAUUUGUUGGUUUAUUUUGUUCUCUGGGCACAGGAAAAUUAGGAGAAGAUGUCAUUCUCCAAUUCAAAGUUCUCGCUGUCGCUGCGGUGUGGCCUGGGGCGCUAGAUGGCAGUGUGGCUGUGUGACAUCCAGGGAGCGGCAGUAGCAAGAGUCUCAACACUCUCAAAGCUUUACAAACUUUCUUUUUCCUGCGUUAUGACUACACGAGGAACGUUUCUUAAUGAGUUAGACUGAUGCAGCUGUGGAUUCUAAUCAAGGGAAGCAAUUAACUGCUAUCUCUGUGACUGCAGAGGAGCCAACUUGAGACCCAAAUGCACUGAGAACAGUCCUCAGCAGAUAACUGAGAAGAGUGAAAUCCUGCCUAAUAUUUACUCCCUGUAACAUUCCUGUAAGUACUUAAGUAUUUAGUAACUGGAUUUGUCGGUACUACUCCG
rnacentral:lncRNA from 12 species